AUCGUGAGGUGUGGACGAGAAGAAGCAAUAGCGAAAUCGUAGCCUGACGAACAGAAACCUAAUAUCAAGGCUUGCAUAACGGAUAAGUGGGCAUAAAGUCAUGAAGUCCAAAAGGCAAUCGUAACUUAUGCAAGUAGAUCAGGCAGACG
rnacentral:ncRNA from 1 species